UUUUAAUACCAAGAUUGUUGAAAUGGGUGAAAGUGUGAUUGAGUUUUGCGAGCUGAAAAAUGUUUAGAAAGGAGCAGGAGAAUCAUUAUAGAGCGAAUGCUCACUAAACAUUCAAACAAUAAGCAGUUAGUUUGCGUGACUCACAUUUGGAGUCUUAAACUAAGCUGUGAGGUUUGAUGUUAUACAAAAAAAAAAAAAAAACUAGUUCAAUCUGGUGACAUUUAUGAAACUUUUCCCUCCAACUCUUGCAUGCUUUGGUGCACUAAGUGUACCACAAGCAGCCAGUAAAACCGUACUAAAUGUAUGCGUGCGCCAUCCAUCUCCUGAAUGAAUCCCGCCUCAUCUCCUCUGCCUCAAUUAUUCAUGUAUUUCAGAAGAGGAAGAGAAUCCAGACUCAGCAUCUAUAUUUAAACUCUGACUGAUCUGUGGUGGUUAUAUAAAUAGAAACAGUUUAGGGUCUGGGGUAGCACACAGGGAAGCAGCUUUUUGCAAAAGAAAAAAAAAGGAAUGUACCUAAGGUAGCACAAUAUUUGUACAAACAGGAAAAAGCUAAAAGACUCAUUUAAAAUAGUCGUGUUUUAAUGCGAGUAAUAAAUCUCUGAACGCAGAUGAAUGUGAAAGAUUUUAUUUUUAGCCUCGGUGUACAGUAACACGUUGCUAAAAAUACGAAGUAAACUAUCAUAUUGUUCGGGGAUGUUGCUGCUCUAAUAUUGAAUGUGUGGUUCAAUUAUUUAUUUAUUUAUUUAUUUAUUUCGUAAGGCACAGAACAUCCCAGCGUUCUCCGCAAAUAUCAGCAGGUAAAGUGAAAAAAAUAGUAAAAAAACCACGAGAAAAGCAUUUGAAACACACAGAGAAAAGACACACAACUCCUCCACACAUGCACUCAAUCAACAAUGAUGCAUGAAUAGAAGGCAGCUGCAAGUCUCACAGAGAUGACAGUUGCCAUGGUGACGGUGACAGCAAACUUUUUAAAACAUUUCAGAAAUGGCACUGAAAUAAAGGAAAAAGAAAAGAGGAGAAACAAAGGAUGAAGAAACGUUAGGAGAACAAGUCAGAGGAUGACCUUGUCGGAGCAAAGAUCUGCGGCUGUUUGGAAAGGAUGCUUCAGCUUCUCCAUUCCCACUGAAUGACCUCCCUUCAUCUGACCCGUCUUCUCCAUCCUCUACUCAAACUUCACGAACAUGAACCUCCUCUUUGGUCUCUUGCCUGGUAGCUCUAGCAUCCUCUGGACAUGACCGAACCAUCGAACCCCGGGCUCAAACUGCAUCUCUCUCCUAUAUUCUUCAUUACUUAUUUUUAUUUAUGCUCCUGUUUGGUGCAGUGCGGUUCAUGUGUUGUUCGGGAAAGUGGCUAUAAGCUAGUGGGAGACAGAGUAAACAAAUACAGGGUUUUCAUUUCAGUAGUCAAAGAAUUCCACUCUUUUACUCCUAUAAACACAAAACCUCUUUGUCUUAAUGAAGUUCAUACAGAGAGUAAAAAAAGUCUCAUUUCCUUCUAUUACUACAAUCAAUAAUUAAUUUAAAUUUCCUACAAAUAUGCUGUGGAACCAAUAAGUUUUUGAUCUUCCACAUGGUCACCACUGUAUUUAACUUUACAAGAUCUGGGGAUUUAAGAGUGAUUUUAGAUUUGACAGAGAUCAUGGGUCACCCAUCCCUCUUGGUCCAGUAUCAUUUAUAAUUCUCAUAUCUUUUUUCUGGAGUAAAGUAAAUCUGUUAGUAAAGCUUUUAGAAGUAUUUCCCCACACCUUGUUAAAAUAAAGAAGAUAUGGGACAAUUAAGGAGUCAUAUAUUAUAUCUAGGGCAUCUUUAUCAAAAUAUGAUUUACUUUAUAUAAAAUACCAAUGUGUUUCCCUAAUUUCCUGCUUAUAUAAUCAAUGUGGGAUUUCCAGCUAAGUUUAUAAUCAUGUACCACUCCUAAAUAUUUUAUUUCAGAAACAUUUUGAAUAAGAGCUUCAUCAAUUUUAAUAUUUUUACUUCCGUCAUAUUUCCUUGUUCUGAAAAUUACACAUUUAGUCUUUUUCUAAUUUAAAAUUAAUUUAUGGACUUUAAACUAUCUUUGUAGAAUAACCAGAAUAACUAAUUCUAAAUUAUUCCCAGAGCUGUAAACAGUCGUAUCAUCAGCAAAAAACAAAACAUUUAAUCUCAGUUGAGAUUUCGAAGAUGUCAUUCAUAAAUAGUAUAAAAAGUUUAGGUCCGAUUACAGAACCUUGUGGAAUUCCAGACGAUACCGUCUCACAUUUUGAUUUUGAGUUAUUCAUUUGAACAUAUUGUUGUCAGUUUUCAAGGUAACUUUCCAACCAUUUAAAUACCUCUUAUGCCAUAAUUGCCCAAAUUUGUUAACAAAAUAUCACGAUUUACGGUAUCAAAUCAAGAAAUUAACUGACCGUAAUCAAUUGCAGCCAGAACCUCCUGUGUGAAGUGAAUGAGUGCAGUACAGGUAGAUCUGUCAGAUCGGAAUCCAUUUUAAUAUAAAAAAAAAAAAUUCUAAAAUUUCUAAUGAAAUCCUGCAGAAACUAUGUCCUAGAAAAUGACACGUGUUUGAAAAAUGGCAUCGUCUCAUUUGAAAGACCACUGAGAACACAGUUACAGUCGAUCGGCAGAAUAAACAGAACAAAGUUCACAUGCUGCUCUGUUAGCUUAUGUCGCAGCUCUGAUGUCUUUAGGGAUUUAGACGCAUAUUUACAUCACCACACAAAUAAUUAAAUUAUACAGAAGUUCUCCUUCGUGUAUUAUCUGGUUCCUUUUUGGAAUAUUUGGGAAUUAUAGAAUAAAACGGUUUCGUUUGUGUGACUUGUUUGGGUCUGAAAACUGGUGCAGGAACUUUCUCUUAUAUCAUCCGAUAUCUUAAUGAAUUCUGCCUCGGUUUAUUCCCCUUACAUUUAUAUAAUUCAUUCACACGAGGUAAAAACAGGCUACAAUGGAAGCACAUUCUGCACCAGCGAAAGGAAACGUGACCGUCUUGCAGAGAGAGGCACAACCAGCAGGAGCCCGGGGCACUCUGGGUUUUAGGACUUUCAAUCAGCACAAAAAUAAAUGAGUAAAACAUCUAAAACUGUUGCUUCCAUAAAUACAGAAACAACGAAGAUCAAAGCUUUUACUGUUUUUGUGGCAUGGUACAAUCUUCCGCACAAAACAUUGCUAAUGUGCCAUAUUU